GCAGUCGAACGAUGAAGCCUUUCGGGGUGGAUUAGUGGCGAACGGGUGAGUAACACGUGGGCAAUCUGCCCUUCACUCUGGGACAAGCCCUGGAAACGGGGUCUAAUACCGGAUAACACUCUGUCCUGCAUGGGACGGGGUUAAAAGCUCCGGCGGUGAAGGAUGAGCCCGCGGCCUAUCAGCUUGUUGGUGGGGUAAUGGCCUACCAAGGCGACGACGGGUAGCCGGCCUGAGAGGGCGACCGGCCACACUGGGACUGAGACACGGCCCAGACUCCUACGGGAGGCAGCAGUGGGGAAUAUUGCACAAUGGGCGAAAGCCUGAUGCAGCGACGCCGCGUGAGGGAUGACGGCCUUCGGGUUGUAAACCUCUUUCAGCAGGGAAGAAGCGAAAGUGACGGUACCUGCAGAAGAAGCGCCGGCUAACUACGUGCCAGCAGCCGCGGUAAUACGUAGGGCGCAAGCGUUGUCCGGAAUUAUUGGGCGUAAAGAGCUCGUAGGCGGCUUGUCACGUCGGAUGUGAAAGCCCGGGGCUUAACCCCGGGUCUGCAUUCGAUACGGGCUAGCUAGAGUGUGGUAGGGGAGAUCGGAAUUCCUGGUGUAGCGGUGAAAUGCGCAGAUAUCAGGAGGAACACCGGUGGCGAAGGCGGAUCUCUGGGCCAUUACUGACGCUGAGGAGCGAAAGCGUGGGGAGCGAACAG
rnacentral:rRNA from 1 species